CCUGGUGGUCAUGGCGGGGUGGCUGCACCCGUUCCCAUUCCGAACACGGCCGUGAAACGCCCCAGCGCCAAUGGUACUUCGUCUUAAGACGCGGGAGAGUAGGUCGCCGCCAGGU
rfam:Sinorhizobium sp. RAC02, complete genome.